AUUGAACGCUGGCGGCAGGCCUAACACAUGCAAGUCGAGCGGAUGAAGGGAGCUUGCUCCUGGAUUCAGCGGCGGACGGGUGAGUAAUGCCUAGGAAUCUGCCUGGUAGUGGGGGAUAACGUCCGGAAACGGGCGCUAAUACCGCAUACGUCCUGAGGGAGAAAGUGGGGGAUCUUCGGACCUCACGCUAUCUGAUGAGCCUAGGUCGGAUUAGCUAGUUGGUGGGGUAAAGGCCUACCAAGGCGACGAUCCGUAACUGGUCUGAGAGGAUGAUCAGUCACACUGGAACUGAGACACGGUCCAGACUCCUACGGGAGGCAGCAGUGGGGAAUAUUGGACAAUGGGCGAAAGCCUGAUCCAGCCAUGCCGCGUGUGUGAAGAAGGUCUUCGGAUUGUAAAGCACUUUAAGUUGGGAGGAAGGGCAGUAAGUUAAUACCUGGCUGUUUUGACGGUACCAACAGAAUAAGCACCGGCUAACUUCGUG
rnacentral:rRNA from 1 species